UCGCAGAUCAAAGAACAAUUAUACGUUCAUUGUCAUGGGAAUCAGCAUUGUGCGGGAGUCGAUGCCCGUGUUUGAGUAUGUUCUAAGCGGGACUGCUAAAAUUUACUGCUCGCAUUUGUCAUUACCAAGAAAUAAGGUCACUUUUGGAUAUGGGGAACGCAUUACUGAAUGUUCUCCUGGGAUGCACCCUUCUCGGUAUAUAUGGUGCCACCCCGGCAUCGCGCAC